AUAAAGUGGCGAACGGCUGAGUAACACGUGGGCAACCUGCCCUUUGCACUGGGAUAGCCUCGGGAAACCGAGGUUAAUACCGGAUACUCCAUAUUUGUCGCAUGGCGAAUAUGGGAAAGCUCCGGCGGCAAAGGAUGGCCCGCGGCCUGUUAGCUAGUUGGUGGGGUAGUGGCCUACCAAGGCAAUGAUGGGUAGCCGGGUUGAGAGACCGACCGGCCAGAUUGGGACUGAGACACGGCCCAGACUCCUACGGGAGGCAGCAGUU
rnacentral:rRNA from 1 species